rnacentral:rRNA from 1 species
GACGAACCGUGCGAGCGUUGUUCGGAAUCACUGGGCUUAAAGGGAGCGUAGGCGGGCUAUCAAGUCUGGGGUGAAAUGCCGCGGCUCAACCGUGGAACUGCCUCAGAUACUGACGGCCUCGAGGGAGAUAGGGGCAUGCGGAACAUUGGGUGGAGCGGUGAAAUGCGUUGAUAUCCAAUGGAACUCCGGUGGCGAAAGCGGCGUGCUGGAUCUCUUCUGACGCUGAGGCUCGAAAGCUAGGGGAGCAAACGGG